UACGGGGGGGGGCAAGCGUUGUUCGGAAUUACUGGGCGUAAAGGGCGCGUAGGCGGUUUGUUAAGUUGGAUGUGAAAACUCUGGGCUUAACCCAGAGCCUGCAUCCAAAAACUGGCAGGCUAGAGUUUUGGAGGGGGGAAGCGGAAUUCCUGGUGUAGCAGUGAAAUGCGUAGAUAUCAGGAGGAACACCGGUGGCGAAGGCGGCUUCCUGGACAAAAACUGACGCUGAGGCGACGAAAGCUAGGGGAGCAAACAGG
rnacentral:rRNA from 1 species